UACGGAGGGUGCAAGCGUUAAUCGGAAUUACUGGGCGUAAAGCGUGCGUAGGUGGUUCGUUAAGUCCGUUGUGAAAGCCCCGAGCUCAACUUGGGAAUUGCAGUGGAUACUGGCGAGCUAGAGUGCGGUAGAGGAAGGUGGAAUUCCCGGUGUAGUGGUGAAAUGCGUAGAGAUCGGGAGGAACACCAGUGGCGAAGGCGGCUCGCUGGGCCGGUCCUGACACUGAGACGCGAAGGCGUGGGGAGCGAACGGG
rnacentral:rRNA from 1 species